rnacentral:rRNA from 1 species
GGGGCCCGCACAAGCGGUGGAGCAUGUGGUUCAAUUCGAAGCAACGCGCAGACCCUUACCAGCCCUUGACAUGUCAGGACGGCUUCCAGAGAUGGAUUCCUUCUCGCAAGAGACCUGAGCACAGGUGCUGCAUGGCUGUCGUCAGCUCGUGUCGUGAGAUGUUGGGUUAAGUCCCGCAACGAGCGCAACCCUCGCCUUUAGUUGCCAUCAUUUAGUUGGGCACUCUAAAGGGACUGCCGGUGAUAAGCCGCGAGGAAGGUGGGGAUGACGUCAAGUCCUCAUGGCCCUUACGGGCUGGGCUACACACGUGCUACAAUGGCGGUGACAAUGGGACGCAAUGGAGCAAUCCUGCGCAAAUCUCAAAAAGCCGUCUCAGUUCGGAUUGCACUCUGCAACUCGAGUGCAUGAAGUUGGAAUCGCUAGUAAUCGUGGAUCAGCACGCCACGGUGAAUACGUUCCCGGGCCUUGUACACACCGCCCGUCACACCAUGGGAGUUGGUUUUACCUGAAGACGGUGCGCUAACCGCAAGGGGGCAGCCGGCCACGGUAGGGUCAGCGACUGGGGUGAAGUCGUAACAAGGUAACCAAGGG